CAAUAGCGUAUAUUUAAGUUGUUGCAGUUAAAAAGCUCGUAGUUGGAUUUCGGGUGGGACGCAGCGGUCUCGCAUUGCGUUUGUACUGCUGCAGCCAUCCUUCUUGCCGGGGGCGGCCUCUCGGACUUCACUGUCUGGGGGUCAGAAUCGGCGAUGUUACUUUGAGUAAAUUAGAGUGUUCAAAGCAAGCUUACGCUCUGAAUAUAAUAGCAUGGGAUAACACGACAGGACUCUGGCCUAUCGUGUUGGUCUAUAGGACCAGAGUAAUGAUUAAGAGGGACAGUCGGGGGCAUUCGUAUUCCGUUGUCAGAGGUGAAAUUCUUGGAUUUACGGAAGACGAACAUCUGCGAAAGCAUUUGCCAAGGAUGUUUUCAUUGA
rnacentral:rRNA from 1 species